CUUUCCCAUCUUAUAAGGAACUGGUGCAGAAACUGCAGAGAGGGGGAUGAAUACUUGGAAGAAGCAGGGCUCGAGUCCUGCAGGAACGCCGUUCCCUUUGCUCCUGCAGGACCAGGGCAGAUGCCUCUUGAGCCCAGCCAGUGCUCCUCCUGAGCAGAGCAUUCACUAUGCAAGCGAGCAGCAUUGCAUAGUGAAGGAGUCAGGACUCAGGAGAGGAGGACUUACUUCCAGGUUGCUACUCCUCCGACCUCCCCUGCCCUUUGCAUACGCGGCUACGUGGGAGUGUCGUGACAUCACGUGGAGGCGGAGUCACGUGUCGUGUCGGCAACGCUAGGGUGAGACCGUGACGGUGAGAAGGAGGGAGAAAAAAGGUCACACAGUCUCCCACACUCCUUCUGCCCGGCCAAGCCAGCCUGCACCCCUGAGGCCAAGCCAGCACUGAGUCUUCAGAACUGUAAGUACAUUUUAUAAGGAGAGCAUUUACUUGUUUGAUGGAGGCUGG